CAGUAGCCUAGUGUGCGUAAGAGAUACACUUCCUGAUUCUCAAUGCAACCAGACUUUCUUGUUCUUGUCUCUUUUGUAAGUUGUCAAAGUUAUCCCUCUCACACAGAGACUGUCCCCUAUGGUAUCAUGGAAUGAAAAUCAAAGGUAUAAAAGUCAUUAUUACCAAACAAUGGGACACCUCCUCACAGCCACAUAUCUACCCUCUAAUUCAGUCCCCUGGCUGCCUCAGCCCCUCACUUCUCAGACCUCUGCUCCUCCAGUGAGGACAUUCCUUCCCAGACCUCCAGAGGCAGCCUCUCGGCCCCAGGGUGUCCUUAUUCUCUCCCCCAGGUAAUUCUCUGUGUAGUGUUGGCCCCAGGGAUGCUGGUGUCACCGACCUCAGCACUGCACACACCGCCAGGCGCAGUCUGGGCAGGCGGCUCCAGGCACAGAGAGAACGACUGUAACCCCACUUCUUCCUGGGGAGAAAGCUAGAACACGCAACGCUUUCCUCCAGGCUCUGGACUGCUCCGAGACAGAAUGUGGUCUGACCCAUCAAGACCCUUGGAAACUCACCAGUUUGGACUUGAAUCUCCCACAAAGGGUGGAGAUGGGCAGAGCACCAGGGCAGCAGCACUGGGUACAGGCUGAGAUGCUAUCUACAGCAGCUUCUACAGGACACACGAGGGACUGUUCUGGACCUCCACAGCUGCCGUAAUGCAAGGAUGCUCAAUUUCCUCCUGUGAUGCCAUAGUGCCUGCAUCCAUACUUGGUCUGAGAAUAGGUAGGAGGCAUCGUGCAUCUACAAGGUCUCUAACCAUGGAUGUUUGCUCCACAUACUAUUCCUGCUAUUCAAAUUACUUCUGGAGUGCUUACAGGGCCUAAUACCACGCAAAUGCUGGGUAAAUCACUUGUGAAGCCAAUUGUUUUCUUUUGAUAGGAGGAUGGUUGGAACUGUGGACAAGGAACCUGCAGAUGCACAGACUCUACUGAAAGUCUUGUAAAAGUUUAUUUCUGGCUCCAACUCCAUUAAAAACAAGAAACAAGGCUGGGUCCUAUA